AUGAACGCUGGCGGCGUGCCUAAUACAUGCAAGUCGAGCGAACGGACGAGAAGCUUGCUUCUCUGAUGUUAGCGGCGGACGGGUGAGUAACACGUGGAUAACCUACCUAUAAGACUGGGAUAACUUCGGGAAACCGGAGCUAAUACCGGAUAAUAUUUUGAACCGCAUGGUUCAAAAGUGAAAGACGGUCUUGCUGUCACUUAUAGAUGGAUCCGCGCUGCAUCAGCUAGUUGGUAAGGUAACGGCUUACCAAGGCAACGAUGCAUAGCCGACCUGAGAGGGUGAUCGGCCACACUGGAACUGAGACACGGUCCAGACUCCUACGGGAGGCAGCAGUAGGGAAUCUUCCGCAGUGGGCGAAAGCCUGACGGAGCAACGCCGCGUGAGUGAUGAAGGUCUUCGGAUCGUAAAACUCUGUUAUUAGGGAAGAACAUAUGUGUAAGUAACUGUGCACAUCUUGACGGUACCUAUCAGAAAGCCACGGCUAACUACGUG
rnacentral:rRNA from 1 species